AUUGAACGCUGGCGGCAGGCCUAACACAUGCAAGUCGAACGAGUGGGGGACGGGUUAGUAAUGUCUGUGAAACUGCAUGAGGGAGGGGGAUAGCUACUGGGAAAGGUAGCUAAUACCGCAUACCAUCGGAUGUGCCCAGAUGGGAUUAGCUUGUGGGUGGGGUAAAGUAUCACCUCGGCGACGAUCCCUAGCUGGUCUGAGAGGAUGACCAGCCACACUGGAACUGAGACACGGCCCAGACGCCUACGGGAGGCAGCAGUGGGGAAUAGUGCACAAUGGGCGCAAGCCUGAUGCAGCCAGGCCGCGUGUAUGAAGAAGGCCUUCGGGUUGUAAAGUACUUUCAGCGGGGAGGCGUUACCCGCAGAAGAAGCACCGGCUAACUCCGUGCCAGCCGCCGCGGUAAUAC
rnacentral:rRNA from 1 species